rnacentral:rRNA from 1 species
CACGUAGGGUGCGAGCGUUGUCCGGAAUUAUUGGGCGUAAAGAGCUCGUAGGCGGUGUGUCACGUCGGCCGUGAAAACCUGCAGCUUAACUGUGGGCGUGCGGUCGAUACGGGCAUCACUGGAGUUCGGCAGGGGAGACUGGAAUUCCUGGUGUAGCGGUGAAAUGCGCAGAUAUCAGGAGGGACACCGGUGGCGAAGGCGGGUCUCUGGGCCGAUACUGACGCUGGAGGAGCGAAAGCCGUGGGGAGCAAACAGG